UCGAGUUUUUGAACGCAAGUUGCGCCCAAAGCCAUCCGGCUGAGGGCACGCCUGCCUGGGCGUCACGCAUCGCGUUGCUCCCCC
rnacentral:rRNA from 1 species